GGGAAAACACAGUAGAUUGUGGAGAUCUUGUGAUGUCUGUCAAGUGUGAACCAAAAAUCUGGGAACUGAAAGGGUUGAAGGGAUAUGGUUAGACACAUCUCAAAUAGGAGAAGUGGACUUGAUUUCAACAGCCUUUUUGAGGAUGUAUAACCUUAGAUUGCUCAAAAUCUACAAUUUUACAAUUAGAAAUAACUGUAAACUGCACCUUUCUCGUGGCCUUGAGUUCCUUUCUGAUAAGUUGAGGUAUCUCCAUU
rnacentral:misc_RNA from 1 species